rnacentral:misc_RNA from 1 species
AAUGUGAUAAUUAAUGUGAAUUGCAGAAUUCAGUGAAUCAUCGAGUCUUUGAACGCACAUUGCGCCCCCUGGUAUUCCGGGGGGCAUGCCUGUCCGAGCGUCAUUGCUGCCCUCAAGCACGGCUUGUGUGUUGGGCUUCCGUCCCUGGCAACGGGGACGGGCCCAAAAGGCAGUGGCGGCACCAUGUCUGGUCCUCGAGCGUAUGGGGCUUUGUCACCCGCUCCCGUAGGUCCAGCUGGCAGCUAGCCUCGCAACCAAUCUUUUUAACCAGGUUGACCUCGGAUCAGGUAGGGAUACCCGCUGAACUUAAGC